GCACGGUCCACGAUGAAAGAAAGUUUUUUUGCACGAUCCGAUGGUCUACGUUCAUCCCGAUCCAGAUCGAACGGCUGAUAACAUUCUCGAGUGUAAUAAGGAUUCUUGGGCGUAAUCUGACGGCCCAGAUUCCAUCCAUCACGUGAUCCAAUAGCUGAGGAUGCUUUCAACUUUGAAUAGGAGAUCAGAGAUGCGAUCUGACA
rnacentral:lncRNA from 1 species